rnacentral:rRNA from 1 species
ACACAUGCAGUCGAGGGGUAACGGGGAAGCUUGCUUCCGCCGACGACCGGCGCACGGGUGCGUAACGCGUAUACAAUCUACCUUAUACUGGGGUAUAGCCUUUAGAAAUGAAGAUUAAUCCCCCAUAGUCUCUUAAAGUGGCAUCACUUAAGGAGUAAAGGUUACGGUAUAAGAUGAGUAUGCGUUCUAUUAGUUUGUUGGUGUGGUAACGGCACACCAAGACUACGAUAGAUAGGGGCCCUGAGAGGGGGAUCCCCCACACUGGUACUGAGACACGGACCAGACUCCUACGGGAGGCAGCAGUGAGGAAUAUUGGACAAUGGAGGCAACUCUGAUCCAGCCAUGCCGCGUGCAGGAUGACUGCCCUAUGGGUUGUAAACUGCUUUUAUACAGGAAGAAACUUACACACGUGUGUGUAACUGACGGUACUGUAAGAAUAAGGAUCGGCUAACUCCGUGCCAGCAGCCGCGGUAAUACGGAGGAUCCAAGCGUUAUCCGGAAUCAUUGGGUUUAAAGGGUCCGUAGGUUGAUAAUUAAGUCAGAGGUGAAAUCUUGCAGCUCAACUGUAAAAUUGCCUUUGAUACUGGUUAUCUUGAGUUAUUAUGAAGUAGUUAGAAUAUGUAGUGUAGCGGUGAAAUGCAUAGAUAUUACAUAGAAUACCAAUUGCGAAGGCAGACUACUAAUAAUCAACUGACACUGAUGGACGAAAGCGUGGGUAGCGAACAGGAUUAGAUACCCUGGUAGUCCACGCCGUAAACGAUGGUUACUAGCUGUUUGGACCUUGUGUCUGAGUGGCUAAGCGAAAGUGAUAAGUAACCCACCUGGGGAGUACGUUCGCAAGAAUGAAACUCAAAGGAAUUGACGGGGGCCCGCACAAGCGGUGGAGCAUGUGGUUUAAUUCGAUGAUACGCGAGGAACCUUACCAGGGCUUAAAUGUAAGUUGCAUUAGUUAGAGAUAACUAUUUCUUCGGACCACUUACAAGUGCUGCAUGG